UUUAGGACAUGUGAUAUGUGAAUUUAUGAGACUAUAGAACAAAACUAGAACCACAGCUUAACAGCUAAUGACAUGCCUUUAUUGAACAGAAUUAACAGGAAACCUCCAAGAACGUGUGGCAGCUCUGCUUCUGAGGCGUCUUGAGGACCCACGGCUAACACUGAGCACCUCCACGUGCGGCACGGUGGUGGGCUUCCACAGGCAGUCCUUAGCAUCUCUCUGUGUUGUCUUAUUAGCCGGACUUCACAGACGAAAACGAGGCCCAAAGGGGGGAAGUCACAUGUCCGGGGUCACGCAGCUACUUCAGUCUGCCUCCAGAGCCCGUUCCCCCACAUUAGUCAGAAACCAUUCCCCACAGAGACUCUCCUUCGGUCGCAGUGGAAGGGUGUGAGUUUCUGCUACACACAUUGCCUGCAUCCUUUUAAUUCAUAAUCCUUUUGUUCAGUGGCUUAGCGAGCACUUAGUCUGUGCCAAGUACAGGAAACAGAUCGGUAAGCCUCCUCCCCUCAGAGCACUUGAGCGUAAGGAACAGAUGUGUAACGAAGUGGCGCACAGGCCCCACAUCACAGAGACGUGAAAGAAUGCUAAGGAAAGUACGGGGGAAUUAUUUGAGGGGCAUAUGGGAAUGUUUUGACUUGCAUUUUUCACAGGAUAUUUUAUUUGCACAUUUUGUAUUAUAUAUGCCUCGUUUAGCACCAGAAUCUAAGAGAGAGAAUAUUAGCCCCAUUUUACAGAGGAAAAUAGAAACAGAAAAGGCAAGCUUGGCCUAGUGGAGCAGACCUGGGACCCAGGAGUGUGGCUCCAAGGCCAGGACCAUCGGCCCUGCAGAGCAGCCACCAUCAAGGCAACUCCUUUGUGACCAGAUGUUUGCUUGGUGACACGUGAUCAGGCCCAAGGAAUGCUCCUUGUUCCACGACAGGACAGGACUUUCUCUGUUCCCACAUCCUUCUUCUUGCCAUGGCUUCAGCAAGUUGACCACAGUCAACGAUUGUGGGAGAUGAGGUAACAGACCAAGUUUUGGCUUUAUUGAGACUAUUGGUCUGAUGGGCCUAGAUUUCCUCAGUCACCCACUGCUUUUUAAAUAAAAAAUAUAAUAAGACAAUAAAAGUUGUGAAGUUUGAAAAAAAUUGUUAAAGCUAAAAAAUCACCUAUACUAUGCAGAUGUUAAAAAGAAUGAGAUAGAUCUAUACAGAGAGGGAACAAUUUCCAAAACAUAUCGAGAUAUAUAAAUGUGCUUGUGAAUACCCAGUUUCUCUCUGAAGAUACACACAAGAAACUGGACACAGCAGUUCCCUCUGGGGAGCAUACAUACAUAUUUUUUUCCAUAUUGUGCAUAUUAUUACUUUGUAUAUAUGCUUUAAAAAAAAAUAUUCCUGAAACAUUUCCCCCCUUAUUAGAUAGCCUCCCUUGAUUUUGUGUGUUCGCGUCCGUUGUGUUCUAGUAUUGUUAUGGGGAUGUGCUAUAAUUAACCAACCCCUAUUGCUUCGCGUUUAAACUUCAUUUUAUGGGAUAAGUUUGCAGUGCACAAUGUAGCACAUACUUCUGAUGUGGGCUAGAGGCCUCACAGCACGUUGGCAGAUCAAAGCGGGUAUGCAUAUGCUCUUAAACUUCUUUCCAUUUUGCUUCUUAGGCGGGUCCCUUCAGCAAGGUCAUCUUGCCCAGGGGUGUGCAUUUUACUUGUUUCCCAUAGUCUUUUUUUUUUUUUUUUAAUUUUUU
rnacentral:lncRNA from 1 species